GCCCCGAGCGGUGAGUGGGUGGCCUCCCGGGAGAGGAGCGGCGCGGGGGACGGCGUGGGAGGGCGGUGGGGAAGGCAUCCCGGGCGCGGAGGCCCGACGCGGAGCCUGGGCCUGCGGGAGCUGCUGCGGGGAGAAGUGCGGGAGCGUCGGGGGGGGUGCCAGGGGCCGGGUCCCCGGGGCCGCGGUGCGCGCGGGGGGGGCAGGCCCCAGCUCGGAGGCUGUGACGCACUUCGCGGGAGGCGGGGGGGGGGGGCGGCGGCGGGACCGCGAUUGCGCGACUGGGCUCCGCAGGGGUGGAGGGGCCCGGCUGGAGCUGCGUGCCUGUCACGGGUGCUUUCGCGCCACGGCGGGGGCGGCAGGGGGUCGGAUGGGCCACCGUGCCUGUCACGGGUGCCUUCGUGCGGCGGGUAGCAGGGAGGCGGAGGGGCGGGUCUGGAGUGUUACGGUGCCUUCGCGCAGCCGCGGGGGUGGCGGGGCCAAGGUGCGUGUCGUGACGGCAUGUGCGGUGGCGAGGCUGGGAUUAGUAGGGGACAGUGCAACCUGUAGCUUUGCUGUCGCUGCUCCAACCGGAGCACGUUCCAACCCGGGGUGGAGGGGGGAGGAAGGGGAGUGGUCACAGAGGGAGAUGAGAGCCCGAACCCUGCCGCGAAAGUGACCGACAGGAAGGGCGCAGACGUAGCAUGAGAUGACUGUUUUAGAACGAAGUAUUGACUUUACGGGCUACCACAGUAACAGGACCGAAGGGCCUCGGGAAUGAGAUUCCUUCUUUGGAGGGGAGAGGUCCCUGACUUGGGAGAUGGGGCUGCUUCAUAUGUCAGAACCCCAGUUACUCCAGCCUGGUCCCCGGGAAUCUCCGAAAUACUCAGAUCCCAGUUCCCUCUCAUUCCUGAUUGGUUUUAGAUAGGAUGUGUGGGCUUGGAGGGUGUUUCCUGCUAAGUUUGUGCUCCAGAAAGGCCCUAGUGUCUCCUUCUCUUUCCCCCAGGCCAGCGGUCGUCCAGAAAAAGCAUCCUGAGGAGGAAGACGGCUUGUUACACACCUUAAAGUCAAGGUUCAGAUGAGUUACCCUUUUUAUUCUGUCAAUGACUUGUGCUUUUAGGACUUCAGAAUAUCUGCUUUCCUUGGCCUGAAAUGUUCUCCCUGAUGGGGACUUAACCUCAGUCAUUCUUGCCCAAGAGGUGUGAUGGGGGUCAGGCAGGUGUAUGCACACAACACAGAACAGAGGACUGCAGUGGAGAGGUUCCCUGUGGUGCUUUAUUUUAGAGGGUGCUUUGGUCAGGACGAUCUGACUUGUAAGGUGGAAUCAAGCACUAGACUUCGUCGGUCUUUAACCACAGGCCUGACUUCCAGAGCAAAAUAAGAACAGAGAAGUUUUGAGGGUUUGGGCCAGCGAAUGAGAAAGUUACCAGCUUUGUGAUGCUCUUAAAAGUGGGGCUUGAACAAAGGUCUUUUCAUCAAAGGCAGGGACUUUUUUUCCAGGAAGCAAUAAGUCGAGAUUUGUUGUAUUAUCCCCAUCUUUUUGGGGGUCUGGACAGCCUCCGUUUGUUUUCCUGGGUUUCACUUGCCUCUCUGUCUUAACUGUAAGAAGCAACGUAGUUUGACGUUGUGUGUGAGUUCUGGGUCUAGAGCAGGGUUUCACAGACGUUUUCCGUGAAAGGUCACAUAUUAAAUAGUUCAUGUUUUGCGGGCUACAGGUUGCAUAUUCUCCAUGUUAAUUUUUAAAAUGGUUUGAGAUUUGCAGAAAAAUUGCAAAGAUAGUAUGAGAAUGCCCAGGUCUCCCCCACCAUUAACAACGUACGUUAGGGUGGGAUAUUAAUUCACAGUUGAUGAGCCAGGUUUGAUAUGUUAUCAUUAACUGAAAUCUGUGCUUUAUUCAGAUUUCCUUAGUUUUUACGUAAUGUUCUUCAUCUGUUCCAGGAUGCCAUCCAGGAGAUCCCAUUACAUUUCACUGUCAUGUGCCCUUAAGCUCCUCUUGGCUGAGACAGUUUCUCAGACUUCCCUUGUUUCUGAUGACCUUGACGGUUUUGAGAGGUACAGGUACUUGGUAGGAUGCCCCUCUCUCGGAACCUGAUGCUUUUCUCAUGAUUGGACUGGGUGUAUGGUUUUGGGGGUGGAAGAUCACAUUGCUUUCAUCUUGUCAUGGCAAGAAUACAUCACGAUUUAUGAUGGCUGAGUUUGAACUUGAUCAUCUGGUUGAGGUAGUUUGUCAGUUUUCUCCACUGUGAAGUUGUUCCUUUGUUUCCAAAGACCUUGUCUCCCUAAGUGACAGCCUUGUGUUUCAGGACCCCAGUUACUGGAUCCCAGUGACUCUGACCCUGCCUGAGUGGUCAGGUCUUUCUCUCUUAUCACCCCCUCACUUACUUGU
rnacentral:lncRNA from 1 species